rnacentral:lncRNA from 1 species
UUGGAUAUGCUCUUACAAACGUAUUCCAAGAAAUUAAAUAUACAUCAAAACCAUAUUAAGAGUGAUAUGAGAAAUUAGAGAAAAAAGAAAAAAGCAACAAACCAAGGAGUCGAAUAAAACGCAAGCAAGUAUAUACAUUUUGCUAAAGAUACUAUUUAUUAUUGAGAAAAUAAAUACGAUGAAGAGUAUGGGGUUUACCUCAAGCAGUGAAGAUGAUUUUUUUUUAUUUGAGUGCAUGAUAGUGUGAUUCCAACGGGGUUAUAUAAAAUAAUUUUGUUUUUGUUUUUGUUUGACUAGUAAAAUUAUUUCUUUUGUAUGUCUACCUUUUUUGUUUCAUUGCCAAAAGUUUUUUUGUUUUUUUGACCAGUUUAGUGCUAAUCUUUUCUUCAAAAUAAUUAUUUUUUGACCAAGAAACCCAACUUAUAAUUAUAAAAUAAGAAAAAUUAAAUUAUAUUACGAAUAAAAAGGAUAUCGUUAAAAA